CUAAGGGGUGUCCCUCCUUUUUUGCAAGCUUCAGAUAUUUGAAGGAUUCCUUAAUUCUGCAGUGGUGUUGAAGACUGAAAUCCUGCAUGCCACUCAUGAUUUGUGUAAUCCUGAAGAUGUUGAUUAACUUCUCUGGAGAAAGAUUAAAUCCCUUGGACCCAGUCAGAUCAGUGCUUGCUGUUUUUGAGAAAGAGAUUCUUGAGAGAGGGCUGUGAAUUGCAAUUUGAGUAGGAAGAAAUUUUAUCCAAACAUGUGCAUCAUCUAAUGGCAAAAAAUGGCUCCAAGUGAAGAUGAAGAAACUAAGACCCAGAGAAUUUAAAUAAUUUCUCCAAGGGGCUGUGGUUAUUAUGUGGUGGAGCCAUGAAGUGAACCCAAAUAGUCCAGCUUUAGAUAUCAUUCAAAGGUGUCCUAAGGUGCUGGUGAUGACCUGGUCUUC